AUUGAACGCUGGCGGCAGGCCUAACACAUGCAAGUCGAGCGGAUGAAGGGAGCUUGCUCCUGGAUUCAGCGGCGGACGGGUGAGUAAUGCCUAGGAAUCUGCCUGGUAGUGGGGGAUAACGUCCGGAAACGGGCGCUAAUACCGCAUACGUCCUGAGGGAGAAAGUGGGGGAUCUUCGGACCUCACGCUAUCAGAUGAGCCUAGGUCGGAUUAGCUAGUUGGUGGGGUAAAGGCCUACCAAGGCGACGAUCCGUAACUGGUCUGAGAGGAUGAUCAGUCACACUGGAACUGAGACACGGUCCAGACUCCUACGGGAGGCAGCAGUGGGGAAUAUUGGACAAUGGGUGAAAGCCUGAUCCAGCCAUGCCGCGUGUGUGCAGAAGGUCUUCGGAUUGUAAAGCACUUUAAGUUGGGAGGAAGGGCAGUAAGUUAAUACCUUGCUGUUUUGACGUUACCAACAGAAUAAGCACCGGCUAACUUCGUG
rnacentral:rRNA from 1 species